CCUACGGGGUGCAGCAGUGGGGGAUAUUGCACAAUGGGGGGAACCCUGAUGCAGCGACGCCGCGUGGGUGAAGAAGCGCCUCGGCGCGUAAAGCCCUGUCAGCAGGGAAGAAAAUGACGGUACCUGAAGAAGAAGCCCCGGCUAACUACGUGCCAGCAGCCGCGGUAAUACGUAGGGGGCAAGCGUUAUCCGGAUUUACUGGGUGGAAAGGGGGCGCAGACGGCGAUGCAAGCCAGGAGUGAAAGCCCGGGGCCCAACCCCGGGACUGCUCUUGGAACUGCGUGGCUGGAGUGCAGGAGGGGCAGGCGGAAUUCCUGGUGUAGCGGUGAAAUGCGUAGAUAUCAGGAGGAACACCGGUGGCGAAGGCGGCCUGCUGGACUGCAACUGACGUUGAGGCCCGAAAGCGUGGGGAGCAAACAGGAUUAGAUACCCUUGUAGGC
rnacentral:rRNA from 1 species